UAGGGAAUAUUGGACAAUGGGGGGCAAGCCCUGAUCCCAGCAAUGCCGCGUGAGUGAUGAAGGCCUUAGGGUUGUAAAGCUCUUUACCCGGGAUGAUAAUGACAGUACCGGGAGAAUAAGCUCCGGCUAACUCCGUGCCAGCAGCCGCGGUAAUACGGAGGGAGCUAGCGUUGUUCGGAAUUACUGGGCGUAAAGCGCACGUAGGCGGCUAUUCAAGUCAGAGGUGAAAGCCCGGGGCUCAACCCCGGAACUGCCUUUGAAACUAGAUAGCUUGAAUCCAGGAGAGGUGAGUGGAAUUCCGAGUGUAGAGGUGAAAUUCGUAGAUAUUCGGAAGAACACCAGUGGCGAAGGCGGCUCACUGGACUUGGUAUUGACGCUGAGGUGCGAAAGCGUGGGGAGCAAAAACA
rnacentral:rRNA from 1 species